AUAUCUGCAAUUUUCCUCUGUACUUGUUUUGCCUCGUUUAUAGCUGUAAUGUGUCAAUAAAUUGUUGUUGGGCUAAGACAUUGAACUGCUGCCAAUUUUGCUACGGUAUGUUAUUAUCUUAGUGGUUGAAAUCAAAGGAGAAUUCAAUUAUUUUUGUUGCAAUUGUUUCUGAAUUCAGAAUUCCAGAUAGAGUCUGGCUUUAGAAUUGCAGAUGACUAUGAAUCAGAUUCUUCACAUGGUAGCCCAGUUUAUGUGAAGUCAAGGGAUAACAACUCUAAUGAUGAAGGUGAUGGUAGGUCUCCUGGACAUGCACCAGUGCAACCAAGACGAGUGAGCUCGAGUAACUAGGCUUGUGCGCUUCCAUCUUUGAUAACACAGAGCACAUAUGGAUCCUUCCGGAUGCUCUUAUUCUUUUACCCCAUGGAUUAUUGCACUGUAGCUCCUAAAGCUUCCGUCUUUGAUGCGAGAGAGCAAGGGGAUGCAAGGCUAAUCUCCCAACCUUCAUUGAAAGGGAUGGCAUGAUACUGGAAAUGGAUUACUUGGUGAUUCCAGUUGUAUGGAAGUUUAAGGACAUGUAUCUCCAUUGUACUGUACUAGUGUCAUCAUCUACAGAAACCUACAUGGCAUCUGAAUAUGGAACCUUGGUUAGGAUAUGAAACUUUUUUCUUCUCUCUUUGAAUGCAGUUGGUCCCAAAAUAUGUUAUUGCAUAGCAUCUAUGAUUGCUCUCCUACUAGGCUGCAACAAAACUACUAAUAUGUUGAAAUACUUUUGUCCGAAAUUUAGUGACAUCGGAAAAAAUUGA